GUCUUAAUUCACAACCUUAAUUCAUCUGGGCUUCUGUCGUGGUUUGGCCCGGAAAUGUGUUUUUGGAAAGGUCUAAGUCGGGCCAAUCAGUGGCCAAAUUCAAAAUUGGCAUGUAAUGUAGCCACUGAGGAUCUGGAUACGCCUCUGAGAACACACGGGGGUUAAAAGCAGGAGAUUCCCAGAGAACUUCCUCUUUGGGAAUCCAGCGUUGGUCCAUCCAGCUCCUCUCACCCACGUGGAAAUCCCAUAUCCCAGCUCUCCUGCUCAGUCUUGUUCCUGUCACCAACCGGUUUGUCAGUGCCACAAAAGACACCAUUUGGAACUGACAGACAACUGGGGCAUCUGCUCUGCUGGCAAUGCUGCCAAGAGGUUUGGAAGGGCACCAGGUCAGGGGCUGGCUUCUGCACAGUCAAAAAGG